CCUACGGGAGGCAGCAGUGAGGAAUAUUGGUCAAUGGGCGAGAGCCUGAACCAGCCAAGUCGCGUGAAGGAUGACGGCCCUACGGGUUGUAAACUUCUUUUGUCAGGGAGCAAUUUGGUCCACGCGUGGCUUUAGCGAGAGUAUCUGAAGAAAAAGCAUCGGCUAACUCCGUGCCAGCAGCCGCGGUAAUCCGGAGGAUGCGAGCGUUAUCCGGAUUUAUUGGGUUUAAAGGGUGCGUAGGCGGAAUUUCAAGUCAGCGGUAAAAGUUCGGGGCUCAACCCCGUCGUGCCGUUGAAACUGGUGGUCUUGAGUGGGCGAGAGGUAUGCGGAAUGCGUGGUGUAGCGGUGAAAUGCAUAGAUAUCACGCAGAACUCCGAUUGCGAAGGCAGCAUACCGGCGCCCAACUGACGCUGAAGCACGAAAGCGUGGGUAUCGAACAGGAUUAGAUACCCCGGUAGUC
rnacentral:rRNA from 1 species